rnacentral:rRNA from 1 species
UACGUAGGUCCCGAGCGUUGUCCGGAUUUAUUGGGUGUAAAGCGAGCGCAGGUGGUUUAUUAAGUCUGGUGUAAAAGGCAGUGGCUCAACCAUUGUAUGCAUUGGAAACUGGUAGACUUGAGUGCAGGAGAGGAGAGUGGAAUUCCAUGUGUAGCGGUGAAAUGCGUAGAUAUAUGGAGGAACACCGGUGGCGAAAGCGGCUCUCUGGCCUGUAACUGACACUGAGGCUCGAAAGCGUGGGGAGCAAACAGG